UCCUGCUAAGCUGGUCUACCCCAGGCUGCUGUGGAACUGUGAAUCUCUUGCAUUUAUCAGCAUUAAACAAAAGCAAUAAGCUCCUAGUGGUGCCGUGAAGGGCUUUUCUUUCCUGGGUAGUAAAUCUGCAGUAACUCUCUCUUACAGUUUUAUUGAGGGUUAUCAAGUGUUUAUUCAAAAGGCAUUUCCGUGCAUUCAACGUUCUUCUAAUUGGGCAGUGACUUGUAACAUCCUUCCCAGACAGACUAUUAUUGCUGUGGUAAAAUUCUUUGUGUUUAGGCCAUAGAGUGUCCAUGUUGCUAACUUGCUGGGUGGAGAGGAAGCAGGGUGCUGUCAGCAUGUGGUUUCUUCCAUGUGGAGUCCAACUUUGGAAGAAGAAUCUGGGCUCAGCAUGGAAAUGGUCAAUAAUCAGAGUGGUUUGGAAUGAAAUCCCUUUGUAGGGACAUUUGGAAACGUGGAGAGGGAAGUGGGAGAGGGGUAAGCUUGGAGGUUGGCUUGGUUUAUUAGGGGAAAAGUGUUGGUUUUUUUUUCUCCUGGUUGUUGUGAUGAAGAAAUCAGGAAUGAGAUGGACAAAAAUAAGGGAUGGAAGAAGAAUCUCCCAAACCUGCCACGUAACAGCUCCACAUCAUGCUCAGGGGAUCACAUCCAGCCCUGAAUCGCAGAACUGGCACCUUGGGAAGUGCUCAGCUGUGAAAACUGACUGGCAGGACAGCUUUGCCAUGUGAAAAAAAAAAAAAAAAAGCUUUGACUUUCUUCUUUUUAAGAGGCUUUGUAAAUGGGAGCAGCUGAAUCGAGUCGCGGGCACAUUCAGCAGAUCGUCAGGGAGUACAAAGGCUGCAGUGCAACCUGUUGGUGCUUUAUGAAGUUGUUUUAGCAUGCUCCGUUGAGCUCUACGCUUACCUGCAUCAGAGAGAGGAACAGAGCGGUAGAAAGACGUUUUGGAGGCUGGCACCAACAGAGGGAAGAAUUAAAUAACGCUGUUGCAAAGGAUGGAAAAGGCUCAGAGGUGAUGCGAUGGCUCCAGGGGUGCUGACCUAUCCUUGCCCCACGUGGGGCUGCUGAGCAUCGUGCAGCUCUUGGUGCUGCUGCUGUGUGCACUCAGGUGCCAGCUCUGCCAAACCUUCUGCUGUCCUGUCCUCAUACCAUGUGUCCUCAUCAAAAAAAAACAGUGCAGCAAAACACAACAAGCAGUGUUAAAAAUGUGUUGCAGAUGUGGUAGUAACUCCCGGUUGCAAUAGGCAGAUGACUGUUUUUUCCUUGUUUCUGUCCUAAUAUUGGGUCCAGCUGAGACCAGGGUUUUACAUGUAACUACAGUGUCCCUGCCCUGCAGGUCAGGCACUGGUGAAACACAUGUCGGAAGAGAUGAAGAAACUUGUUCGGCAGCACGUGGUGCAGUCAGCGCCCUUCCCGUCUCCCAGAACCCCAACUCAUGGAGGCAGAACCAUCCUGUAGUUCUCUACCACAGAGAUCAUUUUGCUCUCAGACCUUCUGCUGACCCUGAACGACUUUUGUUCUUUGAGAGCUCUUUUAUUUCUCCCUCCUUCUCUCUCUCUCUCCUCUUUUUUUUCUGUUGUUGCUCAUAUUUUCCCCUCUCAUUAAUUAUACAGAUGUGCUGGGGGCCAUGUGCUUUGCCACAUCACAAAGGAAACCACAGGACUUCAGAUCAGAGGAUCUGCCAGAUGUCCUCGCCUGGCAGAGCACCGUGUGAGGGUCCUGGCUACAAGAGCAGGCUUGUCUGCAUCCAUGGGGCACAGCGGGGACAGCACCCAGCAAAGGGGCCACAUAGGAAACAAGCUUAGUGCAAGCACAGAGUAAGAGCUUUGGAUUACUUGAGUUCACUGCUGGGGUCUUUUUUCCCCCUUUAUUUGAGGCACUAACCCCCAGGAUUCCUUAAGACCACAGCUGCUCAUCUGUGCUUUGGUUGAACAUCACCUUAUUUCCUGACGAGCCCUUUACCCCUUGGUGCAGUUUGCAAUUUCAAGUCCAGAACUCAGACCUUCAGGACUGCUCCUGCUUGGGAAAAUGUGCUGUUUGUGUGUGGUUCACUUUGUUCUUAUGUAGUCCAUUCUUUGGAGUGUCAGUAAGAGUUAUUAAAGGCAAUGGCUU
rnacentral:lncRNA from 7 species